GCUGGUCGUGGUGGCGGGUGCCUGUAGUCCCAGCUACUUGGGAAGCUGAGGCAGGAGAAUCGCUUGAACCAGGGAGUUAGAGGUUGCAGUGAACUGAGAUCACGCCACUGCACUCCAGCCUGGAGACAGAGUGAGACUCCGUCUCAAAAAAAAAAAAAAAGAUACUUUUGAGACGGAGUUUUCCUCUUAUUGCCCAGGCUGGAGUGCAGUGGCGCGAUCUUGGCUCACUACAACCUCCACCUCCCAGGUUCAAGCAAUUCUCCUGCCUCAG
rnacentral:SRP_RNA from 2 species